rnacentral:lncRNA from 1 species
GGGGGUUCCCAAUGGAUUCAAGGAGCUAGCCCCCGCCCCUCGUCCGAGGCCACCUGCUCCGUGCUUGGUUGCGAUGUUCACCCCCGCAGCCAACAAAGCGAAAGCAAGCCCAGAAAGCAGAUCCCGUGAGGGUGACAGCCUGUGCUGGCCUCCAUACAGAGAAUACUCUCCGAGGGGUCCCUGCACCCUCAGUACCUGAGGUUGGCCUUGUCUUCUCCACUUACCUGCCUAACUGGAGAAGCUCAAGUCUGUGAGAAGCUCAAGUCUGUGCAGCCCCACUGCAGGCAGGACCAGACUUCCCUUGAGGAUACGCGUGGGGGCUCUUCGUAUCAAGAUGUAACAAGAUGAAGCUCACUUUCCUCCCACAUGAGGGCUUUUGUGCUUUUGUACCUUGGCACUCUCUAUCCAGAGGACUUGAGGAUCAUCAUGCUCCCUGCCUCUUGAGCAAGGCUCUGAGCAAGGAUGCUGUCCUGUGAAGUAACCAUUAGCCACAUGUAGCUGUAAUACUCUAAAUAAAAUACAAUUUAAAAUCCA